rnacentral:lncRNA from 1 species
UUCUGUUGAGAUUUUGUGUUCCCAGAGCAGAGUGCUUGUUGGAAACUUCAGUUUUCCUCUCUAGCAGCAUUCUCUCCCCGGCAUGGGUGCUUUCCUUUUGGAAAAUUCUGUAGUUGGUGGGUUGACACCCCGUUACUUUGUCUGUUUCCUCAGUAAAGUCGCCAGCGGAGUUGUUGGUAUGACGUACUCCAUCUAUGAUACCUCUCCUCAUCAGGGUGCUUGUUG